rnacentral:rRNA from 1 species
CUGAUGGAUCAUUACC